rnacentral:rRNA from 1 species
UGGCCAGCCUUCUGAAAGGAAGAUUAAUCCAGGAUGGGAUCAUGAGUUCACAUGUCCGCAUGAUUAAAGGUAUUUUCCGGUAGACGAUGGGGAUGCGUUCCAUUAGAUAGUAGGCGGGGUAACGGCCCACCUAGUCAACGAUGGAUAGGGGUUCUGAGAGGAAGGUCCCCCACAUUGGAACUGAGACACGGUCCAAACUCCUACGGGAGGCAGCAGUGAGGAAUAUUGGUCAAUGGGCGAUGGCCUGAACCAGCCAAGUAGCGUGAAGGAUGACUGCCCUAUGGGUUGUAAACUUCUUUUAUAAAGGAAUAAAGUCGGGUAUGCAUACCCGUUUGCAUGUACUUUAUGAAUAAGGAUCGGCUAACUCCGUGCCAGCAGCCGCGGUAAUACGGAGGAUCCGAGCGUUAUCCGGAUUUAUUGGGUUUAAAGGGAGCGUAGAUGGAUGUUUAAGUCAGUUGUGAAAGUUUGCGGCUCAACCGUAAAAUUGCAGUUGAUACUGGAUGUCUUGAGUGCAGUUGAGGCAGGCGGGAUUCGUGGUGUAGCGGUGAAAUGCUUAGAUAUCACGAAGAACUCCGAUUGCGAAGGCAGCCUGCUAAGCUGCAACUGACAUUGAGGCUCGAAAGUGUGGGUAUCAAACAGGAUUAGAUACCCUGGUAGUCCACACGGUAAACGAUGAAUACUCGCUGUUUGCGAUAUACGGCAAGCGGCCAAG